rnacentral:lncRNA from 1 species
UCAAUCUGGUGCCAGAUCUCCCCGCCCGGGGGUUCCCGCUGCUGCAAUUGAAACAAAAUCUCAAAAUACCUAAUAUGUACCGCCAAAGAUGCCGUAUUAUAUAUACGUACACCUGGAGCAUUCGGUGUCUAUAAUCUUUAACUUUUCCCCAACAUAUACACAUAUGUGCAUCACUCAUGCGCCGCCAGCUCUUCUUGUAGAUAUGACUUGUGCCGUAUAAGUCUGACCACGUUGCUUCACCACACCUAUACAGAUGUCUGCCAAAAUGCGUCGGCUGGAAUGGAGUAGGUCGCUACUCUGACCGGAUAGCGCUUUUUGGUGGCUGCAGCGGCAUUGUUGCAUCAACUAAUACUAGAGGUCUCCCUGGACGCUCCCGCAACAGGCCGGGCAACAAGCUGAACGAGCGAGGGAUAGUACUGGUGUUCAGACCCAGUUCCUUGGCGCUGUCUACUGCCGUCGUCCCUGCCGCGCG